GUAGUCCACGCCCUAAACGAUGUCUACUAGUUGUUGGGUCUUAAUUGACUUAGUAACGCAGCUAACGCGUGAAGUAGACCGCCUGGGGAGUACGGUCGCAAGAUUAAAACUCAAAGGAAUUGACGGGGACCCGCACAAGCGGUGGAUGAUGUGGAUUAAUUCGAUGCAACGCGAAAAACCUUACCUACCCUUGACAUGGCAGGAAUCCCGGAGAGAUCCGGGGGUGCUCGAAAGAGAACCUGCACACAGGUGCUGCAUGGCUGUCGUCAGCUCGUGUCGUGAGAUGUUGGGUUAAGUCCCGCAACGAGCGCAACCCUUGUCAUUAGUUGCUACGCAAGAGCACUCUAAUGAGACUGCCGGUGACAAACCGGAGGAAGGUGGGGAUGACGUCAAGUCCUCAUGGCCCUUAUGGGUAGGGCUUCACACGUCAUACAAUGGUACAUACAGAGGGCCGCCAACCCGCGAGGGGGAGCUAAUCCCAGAAAGUGUAUCGUAGUCCGGAUUGUAGUCUGCAACUCGACUACAUGAAGUUGGAAUCGCUAGUAAUCGCGGAUCAGCAUGUCGCGGUGAAUA
rnacentral:rRNA from 1 species